CCUACGGUAGGCUGCAGUGAGGAAUAUUUGUCAAUGGACGCAAGUCUGAACCAGCAAUGCCGCGUGCAGGAAGACGGCUCUAUGAGUUGUCAACUGCUUUUGUACGAGGGUAAAUCCCUAUACGUGUAUCGGGUUGAAAGUACUUUACUAAUAAUGAUCGGCUAACUCCGUGCCAGCAGCCGCGGUAAUAAGGAGUAUCCAAGCGUUAUCCGGAUUUAUUGGGUUUAAAGGGUGCGUAGGCGGAUUUAUAAGUUAGAGGUGAAAUGUCCGGGCGCAACUCGGGAACUGCCUCUAAUACUGUUGAUCUAGAGAGUAGAUGCGGUAGGCGGAAUGUAUGGUGUAGCGGUGAAAUGCUUAGAGAUCAUACAGAACACCGAUUGCGAAGGCAGCUUACCAAUCUAUAUCUGACGUUGAGGCACGAAAGCGUGGGGAGCAAACAGGAUUAGAUACCCUUGUAGUC
rnacentral:rRNA from 1 species